GCAUAUCAAUAAGCGGAGGAAAAGAAACCAACAGGGAUUGCCUCAGUAACGGCGAGUGAAGCGGCAACAGCUCAAAUUUGAAAUCUGGCCUCUUUGGGGUCCGAGUUGUAAUUUGUAGAGGAUGUUUCGGGUACCGCCUCGGUCUAAAUUUCUUGGAACAGAAUGUCAAAGAGGGUGAGAAUCCCGUCUUGGACCGGCGGUAGGGCCCAUGUGAAACUCCUUCGACGAGUCGAGUUGUUUGGGAAUGCAGCUCAAAAUGGGUGGUAAAUUUCAUCUAAAGCUAAAUAUUGGCCAGAGACCGAUAGCGCACAAGUAGAGUGAUCGAAAGAUGAAAAGCACUUUGAAAAGAGAGUUAAACAGUAUGUGAAAUUGUUGAAAGGGAAGCGCUUGCAACCAGACUUGAGCGCGGCGGUUCCCCCUUCCUUUUGGUUGGGUUACUCCGCCGUGUCCAGGCCAACAUCGGUUCUGGGGGUCGGUUAAAGGCUCGAGGAAUGUAUCUACUCCUUCGGGGGUAGACUUAUAGCCUCGGGUGUCAUGCGACCUCCCGGGACCGAGGAACGCGCUUCGGCUCGGAUGUUGGCGUAAUGGUUGUCAGCGACCCGUCUUGAAACACGGACCAAGGAGUCUAACAUCUAUGCGAGUGUUUGGGUGUCAAACCCGGAACGCGGAAUGAAAGUGAACGGAGGUAGGAAGCCGCAAGGCUGCACUAUCGACCGAUCCUGAUGUCUUCGGAUGGAUUUGAGUAAGAGCAUAGCUGUUGGGACCCGAAAGAUGGUGAACUAUGCCUGAAUAGGGUGAAGCCAGAGGAAACUCUGGUGGAGGCUCGCAGCGGUUCUGACGUGCAAAUCGAUCGUCAAAUUUGGGUAUAGGGGCGAAAGACUAAUCG
rnacentral:rRNA from 1 species